rnacentral:rRNA from 1 species
GACGAAGGAUCCAAGCGUUAUCCGGAUUUAUUGGGUUUAAAGGGUGCGUAGGCGGAUUGAUAAGUCAGUGGUGAAAGCCUGCAGCUUAACUGCAGAACUGCCAUUGAUACUGUCAAUCUUGAAUAUGGUUGAUGUGGGCGGAAUAUGACAUGUAGCGGUGAAAUGCUUAGAUAUGUCAUAGAACACCGAUUGCGAAAGGCAGCUCACAAAGCCAUUAUUGACGCUGAGGCACGAAAGCGUGGGGAUCAAACAGG